rnacentral:rRNA from 1 species
GACGAACGCUGGCGGCGUGCUUAACACAUGCAAGUCGAACGAAGAGCGAUGGAAGCUUGCUUCUAUCAAUCUUAGUGGCGAACGGGUGAGUAACGCGUAAUCAACCUGCCCUUCAGAGGGGGACAACAGUUGGAAACGACUGCUAAUACCGCAUACGAUCUGACCUCGGCAUCGAGGAUAGAUGAAAGGUGGCCUCUAUUUAUAAGCUAUCACUGAAGGAGGGGCUUGCGUCUGAUUAGCUAGUUGGAGGGGUAACGGCCCACCAAGGCGAGGAUCAGUAGCCGGUCUGAGAGGAUGAACGGCCACAUUGGGACUGAGACACGGCCCAGACUCCUACGGGAGGCAGCAGUGGGGAAUCUUCCGCAAUGGACGAAAGUCUGACGGAGCAACGCCGCGUGAGUGAUGACGGCCUUCGGGUUGUAAAGCUCUGUUAAUCGGGACGAAAGGCCUUCUUGCGAAUAGUUAGAAGGAUUGACGGUACCGGAAUAGAAAGCCACGGCUAACUACGUG